rnacentral:rRNA from 1 species
GAUGAACGCUGGCGGCGUGCCUAAUACAUGCAAGUCGAGCGAACAGAUGAGAAGCUUGCUUCUCUGAUGUUAGCGGCGGACGGGUGAGUAACACGUGGGUAACCUACCUAUAAGACUGGGAUAACUCCGGGAAACCGGGGCUAAUACCGGAUAAUAUUUUGAACCGCAUGGUUCGAUAGUGAAAGACGGUUUCGGCUGUCACUUAUAGAUGGACCCGCGCCGUAUUAGCUAGUUGGUAAGGUAACGGCUUACCAAGGCGACGAUACGUAGCCGACCUGAGAGGGUGAUCGGCCACACUGGAACUGAGACACGGUCCAGACUCCUACGGGAGGCAGCAGUAGGGAAUCUUCCGCAAUGGGCGAAAGCCUGACGGAGCAACGCCGCGUGAGUGAUGAAGGUCUUCGGAUCGUAAA